CUACGUCCUUGCGUAAUGCGGAAGUGGGAGUGGUUCAAUCUAAAUUGGGUUGGAAUAACGAUAGACGCGCCCCGGCCUGCAGACCAAACUCCCUCAGAUCAGUGCCUAUCCACCAGGAGAACAGACUAGAGGUCUCUCCUCUCCUGCGCAUGCUCCUGUUGCUGUGACUCUCUAACAAAAGACACACCUGACAGGUGGCCAGGGUUUGUUUAACUUGGGAGAUCUUCUGAAUAUGUUGCCUCAACACCUGAAGCAGAUUCGAGUCCUAAUGCUCAAUGAAAAGGAGAA